GACGAACGCUGGCGGCAUGCCUAACACAUGCAAGUCGAACGAGACCUUCGGGUCUAGUGGCGCACGGGUGCGUAACGCGUGGGAAUCUGCCCUUGGGUUCGGAAUAACAGCGAGAAAUUGCUGCUAAUACCGGAUGAUGACGUAAGUCCAAAGAUUUAUCGCCCAAGGAUGAGCCCGCGUAGGAUUAGCUAGUUGGUGAGGUAAAGGCUCACCAAGGCGACGAUCCUUAGCUGGUCUGAGAGGAUGAUCAGCCACACUGGGACUGAGACACGGCCCAGACUCCUACGGGAGGCAGCAGUGGGGAAUAUUGGACAAUGGGCGAAAGCCUGAUCCAGCAAUGCCGCGUGAGUGAUGAAGGCCUUAGGGUUGUAAAGCUCUUUUACCCGGGAUGAUAAUGACAGUACCGGGAGAAUAAGCUCCGGCUAACUCCGUGCCAGCAGCCGCGGUAAU
rnacentral:rRNA from 1 species